UACGAAGGGGGCUAGCGUUGUUCGGAAUCACUGGGCGUAAAGCGCACGUAGGCGGACUUUCAAGUCAGGGGUGAAAUCCCGGGGCUCAACCUCGGAAUUGCCUUUGAUACUGUAGGUCUCGAGUCCGGAAGAGGCGAGUGGAAUUCCCGGUGUAGCGGUGAAAUGCGCAGAUAUCGGGAGGAACACCAAUGGCGAAGGCAGCUCGCUGGGACGUUACUGACGCUGAGACGCGAAAGCGUGGGGAGCAAACAGG
rnacentral:rRNA from 1 species